UCAACUCUUGAGGUGGGAUAAUUUUCCCGUGUCUUUUGAUAUUUUUGUAUGUUUUAUUUUUUUACUUUUACUCUUUUCUUUCAUUUUUUACUCCUUUUUUAUCUCUUUCAAAAUUGCAACACACUAAUCACAAGCGUUUUCAUGUGUAAUUUUGGAUUUGUCAAAAACGCAACUAAGCGGUUCAUUUGUAAUUUUGUGUGCGAUUUUGAGCUUCAAACUGCACUAAAUCACGUGUUCACCCCUACCAACAACUAUUGCCAGCCACUUCAAGAACCACUUCUAACACAGCAAUUAUUCUACAACCAUCACUAAAACCCAGAUUUGUCGUGAUCACGCAAUCUCCCAGAUCCAUCAUGAACUUUGUGAUCAACAUCGCCAUCAACCAUAAACAUUAACGGCAAAGAAAAAUGUCCACAAAAAUCAC
rnacentral:lncRNA from 1 species